rnacentral:lncRNA from 1 species
UUGUUACCAUAUUUAUAUUUUAUUAAUAUACACUUUAUUAUAUUUUAAACUGUUAAUUUUUAAUUAACAAUCAUAAUUUUAUAUUUUAUCUUUUUAAUCGCGCACCUUAUUUUAGCAAUUUCGAAUCCUUCCGGUGGUUACCUUUUGACCCCUAAUCACAAUCUUCUUCUCUGGUUAUUAGUAAUCAUUGGUUAUUCAUUACUCCCUCCGAUCUUAUAUAUUGAUUACUUUCAAUCGAAUCAUCAAGACUAAAGAAGAAAAAUUAAGUCAUUAAAUAUGUCUAAAAAUAAAACAAGUUUUCAAUUAUACCCUAACAUAAUUACACAUCCAACUAAUUUUAUUAAUAACUAAUUAAAUGUUUGGCCUAAAUUAUCAUUUCACAUUCUUUCUCUUUCACGCCAUUAUUAAUAUUCAUUCAUUACUCUACUAUCCC